rnacentral:rRNA from 1 species
GCUCAAAUUUGUAAUCUGGCGGUCUAAGGCCGUCCGAGUUGUAGUCUGGAGAAKMGCCUUCCGCGCCGGACCGUGUACAAGUCCCUUGGAACAGGGCGUCAUAGAGGGUGAGAAUCCCGUCUUUGACACGGACUGCCGGUGCUUUGUGAUGCGCUCUCGAAGAGUCGAGUUGUUUGGGAAUGCAGCUCAAAUUGGGUGGUAAAUUCCAUCUAAAGCUAAAUAUUGGCGAAAGACCGAUAGCGAACAAGUACCGUGAGGGAAAGAUGAAAAGCACUUUGGAAAGAGAGUUAAACAGUACGUGAAAUUGUUGAAAGGGAAACGAUUGAAGUCAGUCGCGUCCGCCUCGAAUCAGCCUUGCUUCUGCUUGGUGUACUUCUUGGUGGACGGGCCAGCAUCGAUUUCGACUGUUGGAGAAAGGCAGGGGGAAUGUGGCACCUUCGGGUGUGUUAUAGCCCUCGGUCGUAUACAACGGUUGGGAUCGAGGACCGCAGCACGCCUUCAUGGCCGGGGUUCGCCCACGUAACGUGCUUAGGAUGCUGGCGUAAUGGCUUUAAACGACCCGUCUUGAAACACGGACCAAGGAGUCUAACAUGCCUGCGAGUGUUUGGGUGGAAAACCCGGACGCGGAAUGAAAGUGAAAUGUUGGGACCUCUGUCGUGGAGGGCACCGACGCCCGGACCAGACCUUCUGUGACGGUUCCGAGGUAGAGCAUGUAUGUUGGGACCCGAAAGAUGGUGAACUAUGCCUGAGUAGGGUGAAGCCAGAGGAAACUCUGGUGGAGGCUCGUAGCGAUUCUGACGUGCAAAUCGAUCGUCGAACUUGGG